rnacentral:rRNA from 1 species
UGAGAAUCUGCCUUCUGGUCGGGGAUAACCACUGGAAACGGUGGCUAAUACCGGAUAUGCCGCAACGUGAAAGAUUUAUCGCCAGAAGAGGAGCUCGCGUCUGAUUAGCUAGUUGGUGGGGUAAAAGCCUACCAAGGCAUCGAUCAGUAGCUGGUCUGAGAGGACGAUCAGCCACACUGGGACUGAGACACGGCCCAGACUCCUACGGGAGGCAGCAGUGGGGAAUUUUCCGCAAUGGGCGAAAGCCUGACGGAGCAAGACCGCGUGAGGGAAGAAGGCUCUUGGGUCGUAAACCUCUUUUGUCAGGGAAGAACACAAUGACGGUACCUGACGAAUCAGCCUCGGCUAACUCCGUGCCAGCAGCCGCGGUAAUACGGAGGAGGCAAGCGUUAUCCGGAAUUAUUGGGCGUAAAGCGUCCGCAGGUGGCUAUUCAAGUCUGCGGUCAAAGACUGGGGCUUAACCCUGGAAAGGCCGUGGAAACUGAAAAGCUAGAGUGCAGUAGGGGUAGAGGGAAUUCCCGGUGUAGCGGUGAAAUGCGUAGAGCUCGGGAAGAACAUCGGUGGCGAAAGCGCUCUGCUGGACUGCAACUGACACUCAGGGACGAAAGCUAGGGGAGCGAAUGGGAUUAGAUACCCCAGUAGUCCUAGCCGUA